UAUUAUUAUUAUUAUUAUUACUUUCAAAUUCCCUGCUUUGCUUUAUCUCUUUGUUUCAAUUGUGCAUAUUAGAUGUUUACCUUGAUUUGAUCCCUUUAUCUCCCUCUAUAAGAUGGGCUAUUAAAAUUUUCUGACUUCCUCUGAAAUGAGUUGGAGGGGAAGCCGCCAGUCUGCAAAAUCAAGGGAUUACACACUGUGGAUGGUUCUUAUGCGUAUGUUUUAUUGUUUUUGCAUUCGUGUAGGAAAAAAACUGAAGAACAAAAAUCGAUGGUUAAGUUGCUAGUAAAAGCAACAAGUUAACUUGUACAAUUGCUUGGAACCGU
rnacentral:misc_RNA from 1 species